UCCAGCGGUAAGGAAGUUACCGGCUCACAACAACAACAUCUAUAAAUGGAUCGCGCGGUUUGUGUGCCUAUGUCACUGUCAACUUAAGGUCACAGGACCUGUAAUUAUACCGCCACAUAUUUACUCGGCGCAAAUAUUUAAGCGGAUGGGAUUGCGUGUUCGGUGCGACGCCCGUACGCGCUGUCACAAAAGCGCGGUAACGCCCGCGCCUCCGGACUCCGUGCUGCGCCAAGGAUACUGUUACGAUGACCUCCGACCCCCUGACACGAAGGGACAAAGCGAGCGAGAGCCGAGGCGCUCGCUCCGGCGGCGCCGGGCGACUUCAAGAGCGCCGUGGGUUUUUAACGAACCACGGUCAACGACCGAGCGUAGAGAUUUAAAGAAUCCCGGAACAAGGACUUUCACCUCGCCCCAAAAAUCAAUCGCGGGCGAGAGACCGCGUUUUAAGGAGACGCGCAUCGAUCGCGCCGGUUUGAGCCCAGCGGUGGCUGCAGCCACGACGAGAACGGUUCAGGGGCCGGGGUCACGGGAAAGGGGGAGUCAACGUGAACUCCGAUCCCACGCACGGGGCAGCCGGGUGGAGCGGGGCUCGCACGGCGAUCUCGCGCCGUGCGCCGGCUAACACCGCGCAUCGCCUCUCCGGUGCUCGCUCCUCACAGCACCGCUGAAGCGCGUGGCGCCACGGAGACUUUCGUGGGCCUCACUCCAUCGCUGUCAACGCCCCAAAACUGCUGGAGCCAUCGCUUCACGCACACACGCACGCCCUUGGCUCCUCUCCCAUCUCAAGAGCGGCUCGAUGCCGAAAGAUUGGUGACCGAGUUCGCGCUUGCAAAAUGAGGCUAAUCCUCGUCUCUCGAGUUCGCGGUCACACAAACCGCACUUGGCGACUUGAACCUCGUGUUUGAGUCGCAUCGCGUCGUCGUUCGGCGCCAUGUCGGACGUUUUGCUCCACGUGCUGGGACCGAACCGAGCCGUUCACCUCCCCCCGCGACGAACCGAGCCGAGCCAAUCAGCAUCAAGAACCAGCGACGCCAGCAGCAACGUCAGCAGCAGCCGUCGGCGCUUUAUGACGGAGGGACAACCGAGCCGGCUCAAACCAGCCGUUCCCAGCAGCACGCGGAGCGAAACGUCGGACACCGCGCCGAACGUCGUGCAGCACGACCCGAAAGCGCACGGGAGGGCCGCGUAGCAGCGGAUCGCACUUGUUUACUCGGGCGUCCCCGGGACGAAUCGGCGCUGUGGGUUCGUGCGCUGCGAGCCACCGGGGGGCUUUGAUGCUCAUUUAGAGAGGCGUCUCACGAGGUCUUCGUGGACCGUUCCACGAAUCGAUUUGCAACUGCGCCGUCCGUGCAAAUGCCACUCUCGCGUGCAAACACCAGCUGCGGGAAGGUAAAGGCGCAUCCCUGCAAUAACUCGCUCACGCCACUGCUGGCGGAAGGGCUUCCACCAGAGAGGUGCUCUGCAGAGCACCUUUAGAGGCUUCCGUGGCCUCGUCUCCCACGCUGGCCAGACGUCUUGGAAGAGGUGGGAGUUCUCUUACUUUACCCCGCCAGCACUCGACCUGCUGGUCGUCUAAUCCCAGUGUAUCCUAAUGUGUGCUGCCGGAUGGACAGAGGCGGCGGUGGGGAUUAAGAAGCUUGCGUCGCUGCGUCCGCUGUGGCGCUGGACGCACCGAGCGGUCUGCUCCCACCGGACUUAUUACCCUCUCCGACACUAUUUUUACAAGCGCUUUUAUGAUACGGGCUUGAUUACAUUAAUUUAAUAAAACCGCUUCAGACGA